GCGCUUUGUUUUAGUUUCUGAAUCAGGCACUUCGUCUUCCUGACAACGCUGCGAUCUCGUCCUCAAACCUCAAUUGGCGACGUAGAGCAGUAACGUCUAUCCUUUCAAUUAAUCACAUCUUUACUCCAACUUUUAUCGAUUGCUCCAAUCCGCCUAACAUCUCUCCUCAAGUGUCUCUAUCACCAUAGGGGAAAUUAGGACACUGUGCCGUCUAAUGUUGAAGCUUUUUUGAUUGUCGAUGGCUUUUACGAUUUCUUGUCCGUAACGGUUACAUACUGUACUCACUUUAAUCCAACCAUAAGGGAAAAGAGUGCUAGAGCUUGGAGCUGGCAUCAAUCGUUUCAAUUGUGAACUGGCUCAAAAGGCUGGUUAAGUCAUCUUCCUUGACUUCAUCGAAAGUGCCAUUAAAAAGUGUGUUCUUGUAGAAUGAAAGUGUGCUGACGUGACAUUUCCAGACCUGAAAACCGAAUAUGGAUCCGCUGACUUAAUUUUCCCAAGUUAUGUGUCUCUCAGAUAAAGAGGUGGAGUUUUUGGCAGAAGGAAUGCUUGGAUGGGUGAAAGCCAGGAGCAUACAUUUUCUUCAGAGAAUCAUGUUUCUUUUAAUCAUAAAAAGGCAAGCGAAAAUCGAUACCCCACUCACUAUCGUAAACCAAGAUUCUAUACAAAGUUUUUCAACGAACGCAAACACGUGAUGCUUCUGGCAAAUCAUUUGAGCUCACUAUGGUUGGUUGAAAAUGCAUUAGGGCAUAUGUGAAAAACAAGGAGAAUCAAAAUCAGAUUUGCUGGAUUUGGCAAAAAGUAAGCGUGGAGAAUGACAAGGAUUUCCACAAAGAUAUCCUGAUAACUCUCCGUCAUUUACAGCAGUGACACUAUUCUCCACAUCCAAACAAGCCAGCUCUGUUUAUGACAUUCUUCAAGUGACUAUUGCAAGAGUGAUGAAACUCCGUUCCAGUAUUCGCAGAGUACAUCAAACAAAGAGGAUAUGAUAUCCAUGAUGUUCAAGCCUAUGGACAGUAAUGCUGAAAGAUGCAGGUUUUGAGGAUGUGAUCGAUGAGGACAUUAUUGAUCAGUUUGUCAAGUCCUCAGACGUGCGUUAGAGAAAGUGGAGAAAGAAAAGGAAGAAUUUAAUCAUCUGCGACUUCUCAGAAGUCAAAAAACAUGAUCAAUUAGAAAGAAUCAGUUCAAGAAAUUUCUCCUGUUGUUAAAAUCAAAGGCUAACCGUGAUGGAGAUGAUCAAGGUUAAAAACACUUCAGAACACCAUACGAAAACAGGCAACAGGUGUGAAACUGUUCCAGCUAACAACAACCUCAACGACGGCCACAGUCGUCUUCAUGAGGUGGAGUCGGAAUAAAAAAACAUUGUUCUUUUUUAAUCACCAUACUCCGAGCAUUCCAAUCUUUCAAAACAAGUCAUAUACUUUUGCAUUUCUCAUAACUUCGUAGCCAAACUUAUGUAUUCUCUCACUUUAUGAUCAGUUUGAUUUAGUUCCUGGAUUGAA